UGCGCAGGCGGUUGUGUAAGACAGGUGUGAAAUCCCCGGGCUUAACCUGGGAACUGCGCUUGUGACUGCACGACUAGAGUAUGGCAGAGGGGGGUGGAAUUCCACGUGUAGCAGUGAAAUGUGUAGAGAUGUGGAGGAACACCGAUGGCGAAGGCAGCCCCCUGGGCCAAUACUGACGCUCAUGCACGAAAGCGUGGGGAGCAAACA
rnacentral:rRNA from 1 species